rnacentral:lncRNA from 1 species
AUGUCUCGCGAACGUACAGCAGGUUUUCCGCAGACUGUAUUUCUGUUUUCACUAAUAAAGAAAAACACAGCCGUGUGGGCAGUCUUACCUCUUCUAAGGGAAACGCAGGAGAAAACGCAGACGGAGGACACGAUGACACAGACCACACUCACAGAGGGCAGAAGAGUCCAGCACGUCAGGCAGGGACUGGGACUGACCACUGUCCGGUCAGGUUCUUCCAAGGAGGAGUUUUCUGCCACUGGUACUGCUGCUGAACCUGCAGGCGGACACAAUGUCCGCAUCAGUGACAGGACAGUGAGGCUCCAGGCUGCUGGCCUGAGAGCAGGGUGACCUCUGCUCCCAGCUCCUCGACCUCACAGCCGACUGGCCUGGGCCGGACAGGGGCGGCCAUGGACUGGUCAGCAGGGGCAUCAGGUCCUCUCCAGCCUGAGCCACGCAGACGGGAGGGCUGGAGUGUGGAGGAGGAGGGGGUGCGGUUCUUUUUUCCCAUCAGCAUCGUUUCAGUGAGGUCACAAAGCUGGGGUUCAUCAAUCGUGAAACUUUUUUAAAAAAGAAUCCUUGUUUUCAUCUGUGAUAUAAAACUCGGUAUCGUUGAACAUCGAACUUUGUGCUGCAUCCUGUGGGGGACGAAACGACUCUCACAGACAUUUUGGAAGUGUUUACUGUACAGCGUUGUAAUAAAGCACAGUAAAAAUGGGGUAACGACCUAGCACUUAGCAGGUGUGGAAAAGGAAAGCAGCCGGUGUCGGGUACGAACAUGGCAACACCGGAACCGGUACCGAACAAGACUGCAGUGUUGAACAGUGAAGGAGUGGGACCCCAGGGUGUCUCUGCUGUGUAGGGGAGCGGGUGCACAGACUGGAACUGCUCGCGUGUUAGUGUGCGUGAGGGGUUAUCGGGGUGUCGGGCGGUGGCUGGGGCUCACCGGGGAAGACGAGCUGCGUCCCGUUUCCGAAG